rnacentral:rRNA from 1 species
UUAUACAUGCAAGUCGAACGAAGUAGCAAUACUUAGUGGCAGACGGGUGAGUAACAUGUAGGUAUCUUCCCUUUGGUGAGGAAUAACACGAGGAAACUUGUGCUAAUACCUCAUAAGUCUUCACGGAGAAAGCUUUAUGCGCCGAAGGAUGAGCCUGCACUUGAUUAGUUUGUUGGUGGGGUAAUGGCCUACCAAGACUUUGAUCUAUAGCUGAUCUGAGAGGAUGAUCAGCCACAUUGGGACUGAGACACGGCCCAAACUCCUACGGGAGGCAGCAGUAGGGAAUAUUGCACAAUGGAGGAAACUCUGAUGCAGCGAUGCCGCGUGAGUGAAGAAGGCCUUUGGGUUGUAAAGCUCUUUCGUCGGGGAAGAAAAUGACUGUACCCGAAUAAGAAGGUCCGGCUAACUUCGUGCCAGCAGCCGCGGUAAUACGAAGGGACCUAGCGUAGUUCGGAAUUACUGGGCUUAAAGAGUUCGUAGGUGGUUAAAAAAGUUGGUGGUGAAAUCCCAGAGCUUAACUCUGGAACUGCCAUCAAAACUUUUUAGCUAGAGUAUGAUAGAGGAAAGCAGAAUUUCUAGUGUAGAGGUGAAAUUCGUAGAUAUUAGAAAGAAUACCGAUUGCGAAGGCAGCUUUCUGGAUCAUUACUGACGCUGAGGAACGAAAGCAUGGGUAGCGAAGAGGAUUAGAUACCCUCGUAGUCCAUGCCGUAAACGAUGUGUGUUAGACGUUGGAAAUUUAUUUUCAGUGUCGCAGCGAAAGCAUUAAACACACCGCCUGGGGAGUACGACC